CAUGGAAAGCUACUAAAAACUGUUCCCAAGUGACUGGAACAGACAGGGUGGUCUGCUUGAGUUCCCACCAGCAGUCUGCUUCUCCCACCAGCAUAUAAGUAGUAAGGGUGACCCUCUGCUCAGGAGUCACUCCUAGGGUCUUGAAGGCCUUCUCCGUCUCCGCCAACCAAUACUGGGCAUCUUCAAAGGAGGAUUCCCCUACAAAAGUGGAUGGGUUCAGUCUCUUGUACCUCUCUACGUAACCUGGGUCAAUCAUGGAAGGAGCUGGGUCCCGUGGAAGAGAGACUGGGUCAGGCUGAGGAUAGACUGGGGGCCCUGUGGUGGUACUUGCUGACAUGUUGGGGGCACCAGAUUAUACUAUGGCGGUGCCACCGGGUGGUACUGUGGAGGAGCAGGCUUGUACCGGGGUGGCUUGGGAUUCUCUUGCUGUAGUGGUGGCUCAACCUGUGGCUGUGGGGGAGGGUCGAGUAGCUCACUUCUCUCCUCUCGACCCUGCUGGACAGCAAUGAGUCUCUCCAGCAUCUCAAAUAUUCAGUCAAUGUCUUCCCGAAGCGAACCAUCCCAGGCUGCUCGGUUU
rnacentral:lncRNA from 1 species